UACAGAAGCCAACCGAUGGAGAGCCCGCUUACAAGCAGAACAACCUUCCUGCUUCGACAGAGCAAAAAAAAAUCGAAGAGAGCCAAGUGCCCAAACCUGCGAAGAAGAAGAAGGCGAGGAGAGAGACAUGAGACGCCUCCGUAUGCAAGAGACUUCACAUCCUGCUUAUGCAACACCUUCUCUGACAGGGAUUUGGAACGACGGUCGCCGUUGACGAACUUUACCAGGAGGGAGGAAAAAAAAAAAAAACGUGUCCGAAAACAACUUUUUUUUUUUUUUUUAAAUACACAUCAUGUGCCAGUUUGGUGGAUCCUUGAAAAGUGAAAUUUUAAUGCAGUGCAAUCUAAUGUGAUGGGGUGUUGAUGGUUUCUAUGUAUGCAUUUGAUCUUUCUGAUAAUGUCUUCUAAUUCCACUGAAUCAAAUAACUGAAGGAGCUGUAAUUUAGUCCUUAGACCUGUAGGAAAAAUACUGAUGAAGUUUAGAAAUCUGUGGCGGCGGCUGACGAGCGCCGCUCACUGUGCAGAGAGUAACUGUUUCUCAACACUGGGCCGAACGGGGUGAACCGGCCUUCUUUUAACCUGCUCUGAUGUCGGUGGUUUCAGACCAGCGGCUGGAAGCUCUACGAGAUGUAAACUGUCGUGAUGUAAAUGAGCCUCGUCAGGCACAGGAAAGGGACUCGCGUCGACUCCGCGGUUCUUGCUUUUUCUUCCUGUGAUUCUGGGGGAAAAAAAAAUGUCACCACCUCUGUCCAUCUUGUUCGUCUCGUCCGUUUUGCUGCCGUGUGUCGACAAAAUGUUCUCUUGCUGUCUUUUUUUUUUUUUACGGCCGGUUGCUGUCUUUCAGCCGCAGUCAUGCUGAAAGUUGGGGGCAUCUGAUGGCAAACGCGUCAUUGUUGUCAGCCUCUUAGUUUUGUUUUUGUUUUUUUUGUUUUCCACCUCUGCUUGAUUCAGAAGUCCUCAGAAUCGUUUUGUAAAACUUAUUUGUAAUAAAAGAAAAGCUAAAGCCAUAUGUAAAAAGACUAAAUAAAGGCCAGUUUUUCUAUC